CGGCCCGGCAGCGCGGCCAGACAGGCCGUGCCUCCCUCCCUCCCUCCGCCACCCCCGGCCUGCGCCGCGCGGGGGGCCCGGCCCCGGGGGUAGGGGUGGGGGUGGACAUGGGUCCUGCCCCCUCCCCUUCUUCGUCGUGGGGGGGCUCGUGGGUCCCGGGGUGCAGCUGCACCCUCCGGGCAGACACAGGGCGCCACAGCGGCAGCCGUCGGGGGAAACCGACCCGCACCCUCCACCGGCCUCCUGGCACCUGCCUGCGACGGGCCUGGCAGCUGCUGCUUGCUCCAGAGGCAGAGCCCUGCCCGCCCCGCCUGCACGAAGGGGCUUUGCCUUUUGGCUCGGAUCGGCCUCUCGUGGGCUGAGAGAAAGCGGGGGCCUCCGAACCCCGAGACCCCCACUCGGGCCCACGCAGGACGCCUGCUCGUGGAUUCGGGAGCGCUGAGGUCCCCGGGUUGACAGCCGGGAGGGAGGAUGCCGGCCGGUUGUAGCGCCCUACCUGGUGUUUGGACUGAUUGAUUUCACCCUCCUCAUUCGUAGGUUUCCUGAGGUUGGCCGUACCUUGGAAGGAACUGAGUUAUCCCAUUUGCCUUGCUGAUCUCUUUGGGCUUGGAAAAAUAGAGGUGGCGUCUUCCCAGUGCCAUGAAAACAAGUCCUCAUUCAUGGUAUGCUGUGCUGUUCUGUGACUUCUCUUUAUUAUGUGAGGAAUAAAAUAGCUAACAAUAUUACCCUUUUAAAACUGCCAUCGCUUGGCCUCUGAGUUAACUCCUCCCAAAGGUGAGUAAGACUGUUCACCUUUCUCAGGGCUCUCUGCAAACUCAACCAUGAUAUAGUUAUGGUGGGUUUAUAUUUCUAAAGUUGUCUUCACGGCUAUAACUAAUAAAGAAUUAUUUUAUUUUUAAAUUAAAGCUGCAGUUCUAGUAAAGAAGAAACAAAUGAUAAAAGCUUCUAUCUCAGGUAAGUGCUGGUGCAGUGUUUGGGUACAUAGCAACUGUUAGCAUGCCCUGCAAGUAGCCACAAGUUAAAUAUGCAUGCAAUCACAAAAAAAUGCCAAUUAAAAUUUUUCAUAUCACAUCGUACCAUCACAAAGUUUGAUUAUGCUAUUUACAAAAAGCUAUUUUUAGGAAAAUUUUCAGGGGUUUAUAUAAAACUCUACUUUUAUUUUUUAAAUCUCUCAAUAUGAAUAAUCAAGGUGCCUUGCUUAAUAAAGCCAACUGUAUAAGAUUUUGAGGGAGAGAAAAGAAUAUAGCGAAUACAUUUUAAAAACCUGAACAUAACUUAAAAUAGCCUCUUAUAUGUUAAAAUCAUGACUAUUUUAUCUAAAUAUCUUAGCUAGAGAAAAAAAGCAAGAAUUUCCCCAUCCACUAGAAUAGAGAGGUUGCAGGGUAUUAAAUCCAACUCUUAUUCAGCACAGACAAAUAUUAUUUGAAUGGGAAAGUGAAUAUGAGAUGGGUAGAAAGAAACAUUCCUUGGAUAGGUUAUUUUCAAUUUAUUUUUAAAUGGGGGGAGGAGGGGCUUCAAAGCUGCUCACAGGCUUAUAUUGGUAGUUGUCAUGGGGAAAUAAAAUACAGAGUGUAGAUGAUGUGGGCAAAGAUGUAUGAUAAAUGUAGGAAAAUAUUACCACUGUAUUUGAGGUGUGCAGAUACAUUUGUGCAUAUGCAGCAAAAGAGGGAGUUUGUUGAAGAGAUUCAAUCAGAAGAAACUUGCCUGGAUGUAGAAGUAGUUGUAAAACUACAGGAAGUCUGGAAGAGCUAAGAGGAGGGAUUCACAUGUGCCUUUUGAGCCUAGACAAGGGCACUAACAUUUUAUUUAAAGUGUGUUCAUUAUCAUAUAGUGACAAUGUAUCAUUCUAAGGUUCUCAAAAUAUAGUUUGGAGAACACUUGGACAACACUGCAGCUGUUCUUCAAAAUAACUUCUCAAAAUGUCCACCAGAGGGUGCCAGGCCAUAAACUUACUGCCACAACAGUAUUCAACAAACAGGCUGUAAUUUUAGAAGGCAUAGUGCUUUCUGGCCUUGAUGCAAUGGAUUUGUAUAGGUGUGCUUGGAUAAAGCAGAUCUCUUUCAGGCAGCAGAAAAUUCCCUGCAGUGCAGGAAGCUCUACAGUGGCUACUGCACACCUCAUAUAUACUUCCACAGCUGAGGACACAUCUGAGUCUGAUAUCCCCAGUCCUUUUGCUACUCUAUCAGUCUCUAACCUUAAAUUGUGCCGGAGAGUAAUCUGGUCAGAGGCUUAGAGAAGCAGUGACUUAAAGUCAUAUUUGCAUCACCCCCUGGAAUCCUGAAACAAGCACAGUUUAUUCAUACUGGAGGAUCUGGUUUAACAGCUGAUUAAAGUGCCAUUACUGGAUAAUGCCUUAGCUAUACUUAUAGGCAAACUGGAUUUACAUGUAUGUUCAGAGAUGGCAAAAAGCCACAUUGCAGCACAUAUUGCUCUGGGUUCAGUCUCUGUUAGUCCAAGACUUGUGAUAAGCAGAAAACAGUUCUCCCAGCUAAACUAUGUCUCAGCUACAGUAACGUGCAGGACAUGCAUAGUGGUCUAGCUAAGAAAGAAAGAAAGAAAGUACAUGUAUUAACAGUGUACUCAUAAUAGACACAGUUACUUGACCACACUGAAAAGUCUAGUUGCCUGUACUGUAUCAUAACUCUACCUAAAAGCAGUGAUCGUGAACCUUCCUAGACUCAAAUCAUCCUUCAGAAAAUGUCAGCUCUGACUUUCCAUUUUGUUUUACUACCAAAAAUCAUAGAGCGGUAUUUUUGCUGCAGAAAUCUCAGAAAAACCACAACAGGUCAAAAUGUUUUAACACUGUGAAUUCCUAUUUGAAAUCUCUGGAUUUAUCUUAUGAAUUGUGUUGGGACACCUAACAGUGCAAAUAUUGUUUGCACCCCACUGGCACACCACAGCACCCUUGAAAGGAUAUAAAGGCACAUGGCACUCUGGCUGAGAAUCUCUGACCUAAAGUCUUGUUACAAGCUCUUCUCAAAUUUGACAAAGUUACAUUAAGUUACGUUAUAGCCUGUUGUAGUGCGUGCUGGAAAGAUCCAUUUUAUGUUUUAGCCAGAAGAUUUUGAAGAAGGCUUGCCACUUUCCAUUUCUGUUAGACUAAAUUGAUUAAGCUAUUAAGUCUGCCAACAGCAUGACUAAGGCUGAAGAGCCAAUGCUUCUGUUUCAGACAUCAGUGACUUAAAAAGCUAUUCCAAGAUCUGGCAUAGCAAUAAAAGUAAGAACACUGACAUUUGAGCUUAAUCAUUAGACAGAUUAAGUAAACUGUCAUGAACAACACUUUCACAGGUAUUUUACAAAUUAACAAAGAAAGGCAAAAUCCAAAGAUCAACCUAAAACAGUUGAACCUUUAUUUGCAUUUCAGGAUUUGCUUUUCAUAUUUAGAAAAGAACUAAGGUACCCAACCACCACACAAAAGGUGACCUAGUUUUUUUUGCUUUUUUUAAAGCAGCACAUAUUCUAGUAAAGGUGCACUGAUACAUCGGUCCGAUACUGGAUCAGCACUGAUAUAAAGAAAAUUGUAUCGGAAAUUGGCUUUUUCUGCUUGAUGUGGCCGAUAAUGUGGCCAAUAAAUGCCCCGUGUAUGCUUACAAUUGCAGCACAGCAAAUAGGCAGCGAGGAGUGCAGCCCAGCAGCUUGGAAAUCUGUGUCCAGCUGGCAAGUCUGUUGUGGUAGAAGGGGAGGGGGGAGGGAAGGGGCAUGGGGGACCCCGUGGUGAGGGAGAGAGUGGGGCUGGGGCAGGGGUGGGGGCAGGCGCUGCCCAGCCAAGUCGAGGCUGGGUGUGGAACACAGUUGAGGUUUGUCUGGGGAGGGGGGGGGGUUGUCCUUCCAUGGCGUGUGCCCCCAGAUCUGCAUGGGGCAGGGCAGGCUGCCGGGGCAGGCUAGGGCAGUGCCGGGCUCUUCCCAGCAGGCGGGGGGGAUUGCAGCAACCCCAAAAUUUGCCAUAGCUCUCCCACCCCUCCUUCCAGUGCCGCGGCCUGCCCCAAGCACAGCCUGACCCAGCCCCCACCAGGAAGACCCUAGCACUUCCCUGUCCCCAGCCAGAAGUGGCAGCCCACCCCACCCUGCACAGAGCUGAGGGCACACGGCCCCCCCACACCCUCCAGGGGUGCGCACAAUGGUGGGAGCAGCCCUCACCCCCCGGGUGCCCUGGAUGAGCUGCAGCUCCAUCCCCCUCCAGCCUCUACCUCAGCCCUACUCCCUCCCUCACUGAGGGGGCCUUGAUUUGUAUCCCCCAACCCCUUCCUUCCCCCCACCCUUCCGCCACAACAGACUUACCAGCCUGACGCUGCUCUUCAAGCUGCCAGGCUGCGUAUCAGAAAUCGGAUCAGUAUCAGCCACUAUACCUCCUUAAAAAUUGGCUAUCAGUAUUGGCUCCAAAAAUCUAUCGGUGCACCCCUAUAUUCUAGACUAACAUGGAAAUGAGCAGUUUAUUUUACAUAUUAUCAACACACAGUAACAGGUCUUGUAUAUUUAUUAUGCUAGAUCUAACUAGCUAAUACACAUUUUACCUUGUUUGCUUCUUUUCAGUGAAGAUUGGAUUUGAGUUUAUAAUAAAAAAUGAUAUUGGGAAACACAGUUCAAUGUCUUCAUCUUCCUUAAUUAGAAGAAAUAAAGUCUUUAAAUGUGCUUUUCUUUUAAUAAAAUCCAGCCACAUCUUAUUUGUAAGGGAGGAAUUGUAGUAAAAAAAUCGCCAAAUUAAAACAGAUUCAUGAAAGGCAGUUGGAUUAGACUGGAAAAAAUUACUUUGCAAAACUUGGAUGGAAUUCAAAUCACACUAUUAACAUGAAACGAACAGCUGGGUUUAACCACAUCUUGUUUGCUGAAGUUAUCCGCCGUAAUUGUGGGCAGACAGGCCCUAAAAUACCUGCAUCUUGGUCCAAUGAAGGCAGAGACUCAAAGAAUGGAAUAUGGGAUAUUCUCUUGGGAUAUAGCCCGUACUUUCUAAAGUAGCAUCGUAGGUCAUAAAUUAUACAGGGCAUAAAAAUCAAAUGUCAAGCAUGAAAGGAUUUUUUUAAAGUCCAUAAAUAAAUAUGGUUACCUCUUUUGAUCUGAGUGGUUUACUACAGUUUCUGUGGUGCCAUUUCUUUUAGGAGAAGAAACUGAUGCAGCUGAUGAUGGGAUGUUUAUCUUUCAUACACACCUGUUUAUUUAGAAAGUAUGUUCAAAGACCUGUUUCUCCGCACAGUAGGGAAAUCAGAUACAAGACAGCUUCUGUGCUCUUCCAACCUUUAUCAUGCACUACACAGCCCAGAAGCUCUUAACUGUUUCUCAGAGCCAUAUUGCCAAUGUUGCUUCUGAUUUUUAUUUAUUAUUUGCAUUGAUGUAGCACUUACAAAAGCUUACUUAUGGACCAGAAAAUCCAUGUACUAGGCUCUCUACAAGCACACCAUAAAGAAGAUCCUUAACUCAGACAGCUUACAAAAUAAGAAAGAUUUUGACUGUCUCAUGCUUCCUUGCUGUUUUCUGUAAGCUACUCAGGUCAUUUCUAUUUUGUUUUGUUUUGUUUUUUUCUCCAGCAGAAACCCAGACAAAAACUAUUCCAGCAAUCAGUGGACUAGUUCUUGCUUUUGCUAUAUUGGUGCCCAAGUAAACCUCUUGGUUCACACACUUAGUUUGCCAUCUACCCCAACCUUACCAGGUACUUCUGUUUUAGUGGUGCUUUUAUUGUGUCAGCUACAUGGUUACACAUCUGAAGCUUAAUUACUUCUUUAUAUUUAUGAAUGAAAGAUAGCUGAUACUUCUACCAACGUCAACAAGCCUUAACUCACCUGUAAUAAUAUACAUCACUUAGACAUACAUUCUUUGUAUUCCAAAGUUAUGAUGGUGAACAAAUAAGGAAUGCUAUAUUUAGAAAUAAUUCAUGAUGUCUGUGUAGUAGCAACAAGAUGAAUGAGAAAGUUUCAUUUCUGCUUGAUAGGAUGGCAUAGAUCAAGCAAGUGUGUGUCUGUGUGUGUGUGUGUGUGUGUGUGUGUGUGUGUGUGUGUGUGUGUGUGUGUGUGUGUGUGUAGUUGUGACAGACUGCACAAAAUUUAACCUCAGCUCAGAUUCCUUCUCUUUUAGCAUGGGUCCUGUAGGAAAAGUUCAUAAAUUGGAGACAGGGGUGCGAUGAAUUUCUGUGCAAAUCUAACAGCAUUAAGCACAUGAAGGUUUGGGACUUAUGUAAUUUACAAACACCCUCUUUCCUUAUGACACAGCAAGCUUAUGCUUAUUUACUAGAACCAUAGAAUUUCUUCCUAUCUAUGGUUUAUGAGUUGCAGGGGAGGCAGUAUUCAGUGCAGGACAAUUGACAGGCUUAUGGGUCAGUAGCUCAUGAUACAAUAGGAAUAGAUGCAAAUACUAUAUACCAUUGGACAAUGGAGAGCUGAGAAUCCCCACACCUACCCCUCCCUUUCAGUAACCUAAUGUUUUUAUAUCUAGCUCUGAUAAGUGCAAAAUAUUAAACUAUAAAUUCUGACA